rnacentral:lncRNA from 1 species
AAAGGGGUUAGAUUAGACUUUAUUUAGGGCUUCUUUACUCCUCCUGCCAAGACAUGACUUUUCUGGGAUCUCAACUGAACACACCAGAUUUUCUACAAGGACGCUCCACUCUGGCUGGUAGGAAUGCAGGAGUCCCCCCAUGUCCCACAUGAGCUCUGAAAGUGCCUGCUCACUGCUUUCCAAUCACCCUUUGCCCAGCCUCCUGGAGUUUCGUGAUAGACAUCCACAACCUAAUUUUUAUAACAGAUCCAUGGGGAACCCUGUUGUAUUAAUCUGUUCUCACACUGCUAUAAAGAAUGACCUGAGACUGGGUAAUUUAUGAGGAAAAGAGGUUUAGUUGACUCACAGUUCCACAGGCUGUACAGGAAGCAUGGUUGGGGAAGCCUCAGAAAACUUAAAACCAUGGCAGAAGGGGAAGAGAAAGCAAACACAUCCUUCACAUGGCAGAGCAGGAGGGGGAGUGAUAAUCUCAUGAGAUCUCACUCACUAUCACAAGAACAGCAAGGGGUAAAUCUGCCCCCAUGAUCCAAUCAUCUCCCCCCAGGCCUCUCCUCCAACACUAAAGACCACGAUUCAACAGGAGAUUUGGGUAGGGACAUAGAGCCAAGCCAUAUCAACUGUACAGAUUUCUGGAUAUUUUUCUGUACAUUACUCCCUCCUCUCAAAACUGCUGCAUUGGGGAUUAAGUUUCCAACACAUAAACUUUGUGGGACACAUGCAACCAUAGCAAUUCCCCUCCAGGGAGGUUCUGCAAAGAGGCCUGCCACUGAUUCCUCAUUGCAUGGAGAUGAGAUCUCCCUUAUUCUGCAAGGCCAUGUGGUUUUUCCAUCUCUUUCUAAUCUGAGUGUUCAGGUAAAAGUCCACACCUGCUAACAGGGGCAAGCAGGUGCUAAAAACUAGUGAAAAAACUAAUGAAGAGGGCCCAACUAACUGAAGAGUAGCAUGCCCACCCAAAGGGUCAGCUGUGACCAAGAUCCCACAAAGGUAGCCAUGCACAAAUGCAGGCCAGGGCUGCUUGACUUCAGAUUCUUCAAAAGAAGCUGCAAGUCACAAUUUUUACAUGAAAUCUCCUGUGUGCUAAAAGUUAGCAACUGUGGGCCAGGCUCGGUGGCUCACGCCCAUUAUCCCAGCACUUUGGGAAGCUGAGGAGGGUGGAUCACAAGAUCAGGAGUUCAAGACCAACCUGGCCAAUAUGGUGAAAUCGUCUCUACUAAAAAUACAAAAAAUUAGCCGGGUGUGGUGGUGGGCGCCUGUACUCCCAGCUACUCGGGAGGCUGAGGCAGGAGAAUUGCCUGAACCCGGGAGGCGGAGGUUGCAGUGAGCUGAAGUCACGCCACUGCACUCCAGCCUAGGUGACGAAGGGAGACUCUGUCUCAAAAAAUAAAAAAAAAGUUAGCAACUGUGGAGGACAAACAAAAUGCUGACCCUGUCUUCAGACUUCUCCUUGGAUGGAAGGGUGGCAGACCCAAAGCCUUUGGCUUAAGAAAUCUCCCCAGGGCCAGGUCCUAACAAAACGUGGCUUCUCCCAUGAUGUCCCCCAUGUGUCAAUGCUAAACCGACCCUCUGGCUCUGACAAUUCAAAGUCAACUCAACAAAUGCUUACUAAGCAUUUGCUGCCUGACAGGCUCUGGCCUUGAUGUUGGGAAUAAGACUGGACCAGUCACUCAUAUCUCUGCCUUCAGAGAUAUGACCUCAGAGAUUAAACCUCUAGUGUUUACUAGAGGUUAAACACUAGUGAGGAGGCAGAUAUUAGCCCAACCAUCACAAGAAUACAUGACUACAAACUGAGAUAAAUAUUAGGAAGAAAAAUUGGAGGAAACUAAGAGAGUUUAGGACACAGCAAAACCAGGGGCCACACCUUUGAUUCUGUAACUUGCAUCACAGGUCCUCCAAAUACAGCUGAGAUGCCUGAACU